rnacentral:lncRNA from 1 species
AAAAACGUUCAUUAAAACCUAGGCUUUGGCCCCCGCGCUUCUGGGCCGGGCCAUCUCUCGCUCUCCUUGACGCGAGGCUUCCCUGCAUCUCGCUGUAGAGAUGUGUCAAAAAAUAUUCUUGAUGUAACCAAAAAUCCUGUAGAGAUGUGUCAAAAAAAUUGUAGAGAAAAAAUGAAAAAAGGAAAACAACAAAACAAGAGAAAAUCUAGUGCAUACAAGAAAAAGGAAAAAUUAAAAUUAAAAAAACCUGAGAAGAAACUAGGAAGAAAAGAAUUGUAGAAACAGAAAGAAAAGUUAAAGUCAGUGAACGCAGAGAAUGAAACAAAGGAAACUGAUGAAAAAUAAGGAAAAAAAUGAAACAUGAGUAAACCAAACAAUUGGCAUAGAAAACCAGAGAAAAACAAAACAUUCUGAAGAAAAAAAAGGAAUGUGCGCAGCAUCGAUUAGACCUGGGUGAACGAAAAACACGUAAGUUACCAGGCCUUCCCAUAUGCCUUGUUGCUGAGGGCCCUGAGGGCGAGACGGAUCCACAGAAGGAAUCGUUCCUUGACUUAAAUUUUUGAGAGCAACUAGUCAGCGAAUAGUCCUUCGAGACCCUGCCAGCAAGAACUCCC